rnacentral:piRNA from 1 species
UNCAAAGGAGCGAAAGGACUACCUGUCACC